GAAAUUGCUGAGCUGUCAUCAAUUCGGAUUGUUUUCGGGGCCAUGGUAACCAUCCCAAUGGAAAAUUGCAGGAAAUUGUGCUAUGCCAAACUUGUUUAACAGCCAGUGUUGGUGCCGGGGUCAACAUCAAAAUGCGAAGCCCUCAACAAUGGGGCAACGUUGCGCGAACGGGGGCAACACGCAGACGUCGGCGCGCUCUGCACGCGACACACAAAGCAACACGAGUUAACACACUCACACACACACACACACAGCACACACGCUGCGCGGUCAAGAGUCAACAGACACAGCACAAGAUCAAUUGCGGCGUUAAUUUAUGGCGCUCCGUGACAAGAUUAUGCCUUGGUGCGCAUACUUUUUGCAUGCACUGUGUAUAUACAUAUGAGAAGCAUAAGGAAGCACAAGUCUUUUGUUUUUGAAAUUUCC